CUGGAGCCAGUUUCCAGGGGUUAUUGUAGGAAGGGUAGAAGACUCCCCCAUCCACACUGGGAUGACCCUCUGGGUGCCACCGACUUCCUUGUCUGCAGACCCUCGGAAGCUGCUGUUCCGGCUCUAGUGGAAGUGACUCCUCAUGAUUAGAAAAGGCAUUUUCAGCACAAAACUCUAUAAUAGUUUUGUAUCAUGCUGCCUUACUCUUCUUUCCAUUAGGGUGAACAAAUGUUUUAUAACAACUUAUCAGGUAUCUACUUGUCACCUAUA
rnacentral:lncRNA from 1 species